rnacentral:rRNA from 1 species
CAAUCUGUCUCAAAGAUAAGCCAUGCAGUCAAGUAAAACAAUCUAACAGUGAAACUGCGAAUGGCCAUAAAUCAUUAUCGUAUUGAUAGUACCUGCAAUGCAACGCCUGCAAUCAGAGCUAAUACAUCAUCAAGCCCAACCUCUGAAGGCUGUAUUAUAGAUAAAAAAUCAACAUCAUAGAAGAUCAUAAUAACUGUCGAAUCGCAUGGCCUCGGCCGGCGAUGGUUCAUCAAAUUCUGCCCUAUCAACUUCGAUGGUAGAUAGAGCCUACCAUGUUCAACGGUAACGGGAAAAGGUUCGGUUCCGGAAGGGAGCCUGAGAAACGCUACCACAUCCAAGAAGCAGCAGCGCGCAAAUACCCAAUCCCGACACGGGAGUAUGACAAUAAAUAACGAACAGGCCCUUUGGUCUGUAAUGGAAUGAUACAAUGUAAAUACCUUAACGAGGAACAAUGGAGGCAAGUCGUGCCAGCACCGCGUAAUCCAGCUCCAAAGCGUAAUAAAGUUGUGCAGUAAAAAGCUCGAUUGAAUUGGGUGCCCCAGAGUCCACUAUUGUGAGUACUUUGGACGCCCUUCCAUGGCAACCUCUUUGGAGGGGCCAUAAUACUUGAGUAAAUGAGAGGUCAAAGCAGCAAGCGCUGAAUCUUAGCAGGAAUAAAAAAUAGACGAUAUCAUUUGUUGGUUCUAGACCAUCGAAUGAUAAUAGGACGUCGGGGCAUAGUAUCAUUGUAAGAGUGAAAUCUUAAUUUCUGAAACUAACACUGCGAAAGCAUUGUCAAGACGUUUCAUAAUCAAGAACGAAAGUAGGGAUCGAAAUACAAUACCGCGUAGUCUAACCAUAAACAUGCCGACAGGAUGGCGACGCCUCAUUAAGACGCCCAGCACCUACAGAAAUCAAAGUUUGGUUCGGGGGAUAGGUCGCAAGGCUGAAACUAAAGGAAUGACGGAAGGCACCACCAGAUGGAGCCUGCGGCUUAAUUGACUCAACACGGGAAACUCACCAGUCCAGACACAAUAAGGAUGACAGAUUGAGAGCUCUUCUGAUUUGGGGUGGUGCAUGGCCGUCUAGUUGGAGUGAUUGUCUGCUUAAUUGCGAUAACGAACGAGACCUUAGCUUUAUUGCGCAAGCUAACCUAUGGUUUGGGCAUAAAAGACUAUCGAAUCAAGUCGAUGGAAUUGAGGCAAUAACAGUCGUGAGCCCUUAGACGUCUGGCCGCACCGCGCUACACUGACGGAGCCACGAGUUACCUUACCGAGAGUUGGGAAAUCUGAGAAACCCGUCGUGCUGGGAUAGAGCAUGAAUUUGCUCUCAACGAGGAAUCCUAGUAAGCGCAAGUCAUCAGCUGCGUGAUACGUCCCUGCCCUUGUACACACCGCCCGUCGCUACUACCGAGAAUGCUUAGUGAGGCCUCUGGAUAAGUUGGAGGGGCAACCCAUGCUAAGCGAGAAACGGUCAAACUGUCAUUAGAGAAGUAAAAGUCGUAACAAGUUCCGUAGUGAACCUGCGGAAG